rnacentral:rRNA from 1 species
AAACCAUGGAAGGGAACUCCGGUGCCUUGUGAGGAGGCUGAUUUGAACAUUUUUGCAGCAUGCACAACCAUUUCAUUGGGUGAUGGGCGACUCGCAAAUUUUUGGAGUCACAGAUGGCUUCAUGGCCUUGCUCCCAAGGAGAUUGCCCCGGAUUUGUUCAAGAUGUCCGGAUCUAAGAACUUGACUGUCAAUGAAGCCAUGUCAAAUGGCUCUUGGAUGAGAGGCUUGAGGAGUAUUAACACCUCAGAUUUAUUGGAUUCCUUCAUCAGCCUAUGGUGCACCUUGCAAGGAACUUCCUUACAAGCUUGCCCUGAUUCUAUCCGCUGGAACCUAACGUCUGAUGGAAUUUACUCUGCCAAGUCUGCUUACCACUUUCAGUUCCUAACUCGCAUCCCACAGCCACAACUUCUGAACGUUUGGAACAUCAAAGCAGAGGGCAAGAUCAAGUUUUUUAUUUGGACUAUGCUUCAAAAUAGAUUAUGGACUGUUGACAGAUGUAGAUUUGUAUUGAAUUGUAUUGAAUAA